AUUGAACGCUGGCGGCAUGCCUUACACAUGCAAGUCGAACGGCAGCACGGGAGCUUGCUCCUGGUGGCGAGUGGCGAACGGGUGAGUAAUACAUCGGAACGUACCCUGAAGUGGGGGAUAACGUAGCGAAAGUUACGCUAAUACCGCAUAUCCUGUGAGCAGGAAAGAGGGGGAUCGCAAGACCUCUUGCUUUAGGAGCGGCCGAUGUCGGAUUAGCUAGUUGGUGAGGUAAAGGCUCACCAAGGCGACGAUCCGUAGCGGGUCUGAGAGGAUGAUCCGCCACACUGGGACUGAGACACGGCCCAGACUCCUACGGGAGGCAGCAGUGGGGAAUUUUGGACAAUGGGCGCAAGCCUGAUCCAGCCAUGCCGCGUGAGUGAAGAAGGCC
rnacentral:rRNA from 1 species